UCCUAUACUAAAAGGGAUAUAUGAGCAUCAGCCAGCCUAUCCACGUAUGCAAAUUAAAUCAACCUAUCACAAGAUGACAUGUCAGCACCAUUGACAAAUGACCUUUCGUCUCUGUUUAAUUUCUUCCGCCGGAGAAACUUGAAGAAUAAAGACACCGGUUACAAAUCCUCUUUCUCUUCCAUUUUCCACUUUGUCUUUCAACUAUUAAAACUCCAUUAAAGUGAAAAACCAUACAAUUUCGCUUUCCUAUUCACUUUCUUGCCUCUCUCCCUUUUAUAUUAAAACGAUUCUGAUUUUUGUGAAGUUCAGCCUUCAUUAAUAGAAUCGAUUUCGUUUGACUUUACCAGAGAUUGGAUGAGAUCGCCGUUCAAGCAUUUGAGCAACAUCCGUUUCAGAGUGCCCUUGAUGAUUCAGAAACGCCUUUCUACUCUUCUAAGGUCUUCCCUGACAAAUACAUCAUUCUACUCUUCUAAAUCUUGAGCUUCCUUACCCGUGAAAUACAUGGUCACGGCUGUGUCGGAGAUCUCUUCACAAGGAAGCCUCUUUUGGUUCCACAUUCAUAAACCUGUUGUCGGACACUCUUUUCACAGAGCAGGAGGUUAAUGCGCAGAUCUUGGAGGCGAUUGAUGCUGCGGGGGAUCCGGAUCCAGCUCGGUUAAGGCAGGUGGCUGUGGAUGUUGGUGAUGUGGAAAGCUUUUAAGAGGAAGUCGGUGGGAGUGGUUGUGAUCUGAAGCGUGAUUGGUGCUUGUGGAGAUAUGGUGAGCUCCAGUUGAUUGAAAGGGCUUUGUGGAUAUCACUUUCAAUGCUGUCGGUACACUCCAAAGAGAUGCUCCUCCAGUUCAGAUUUCCCGUGCAACCUAAGCAGCUCAGUGCCGAUCUUGUGAAGGCUGCUAAACAGUUUGAUGCUUUGGUUGCAGCCCUUCCGUUAUCAGACUGAGGUGAAGAAACUCAGUUGAAAAGAAUUGCUGAACUCCUGGUGGAAAAUGAUGUUAUUGGCCAAGAGCUCUCUAACGAUUUACAUCUAUUCUGAUCCAACUGCUGCGGAACGUUUGUAUCGAAGAAAGAUGUCAUGUAGAAAAAGUCAUCAGCUGGGCAAGCACAAGGUUUAACAACCACUAAACCACUCAGUUGAGACAGUAGGAUCUCUUUCAUGUUGAUCAUACAAGCUUGCGAUAUAGAGCUAGAAGACAAAGCCAGAGAAGUAGCAGAGCUGAAAACAGAGAGGUAGAGCUAGAGAGAAUUAUGAGGCUGAAGCAUGUAGAGGCAGACAUAUCCCCAGCUAAAAGUUAACGAUGCAAAGCUCAGGCUGAUUGGUCGAUUAUUAAGGACAUGGACAAUAUUCAAACGCUGGAUGCAAAAUUGUUUUCAGUAUUUUAUUUGCUAAAGCCACCGUAUGUGCAGGUUGCAGAGUUUAAAUGCCUACUCGGUGUUAAAGCUAAUACCAAAGAAUGAAUACUAUGACAAAACUCUCCAGCUUCCAAAAUAAUUUGAUGCUACAACCGCUUGGUGACAGUGCACCAGUGUUGGAAGGAUCCUAGGUGCUUUUUUAUACAACUAAAUAAAUGUCUAAUUACCAACCCGAGGAUGCUGUACAUUGACAAUGUUGAUGAUGAAACGGAAGAUUCCGAGGACGAUUUAGAUGAGAACUUUCAUGGGGAUGACAUGCCUGCAUCCCACUGCAAGAUGUAUGUGCAGGACAAGAUUGAGGAGUACAGCGAUGAGAUCUUCAAGCUUUUGGACAAUGGAGCUCAUAUUUACUUUUGUGGGCUUAAAGGAAUGAUGCCUGGGAUUCAGGAUACGCUCAAAAGAGUUGCAGAAGAGAGAGGUGAAAGCUGGGAGCAGAAGCUUACUCAGCUUAGGAAGAACAAGCAAUGGCAUGUUGAAGUGUAUUGAGUCGUGUAAUUGUUUGUCUCUCUGUGUUUUCUACAUUUCUGCAAAUGAAUAAAUCUUGUGGUGAUCCAUUUUGUAUGGAUGGUAAGACUUUAAGAUAGCGUCGUUUUAUAUCUGUGACUUGGAUUGUACUGUUAUUCAUCAGAUGAUUUGUGUUUGGAACGUUGAAUUGUUGCUACGUGGCUUUGAUAAGAUUCACAUACGAUUUAAGAUUUGGUAAUGUAAUAAAAACUUGGUUUUGUAUUCGGUUCGGUUUGACAAACAUUUGGUUUGGUUUCAGUUUUGUGCAACAAUUAAAAAAAUAAGAUGGUUUUAAAAAUAAAUAAAUCCAAAAUCUGGAUGUUUGGGUUUAGAAUUAAUUUUAAAUUCAAAUAGAUUUUAUAAUUUUAUCUAAUACACAUUUUAGAUCCAUAUUUAUUUAUUUAUAUUCAUUAAUGAUAUUUUAGAUUUAAAUAUAGUAAUCAAAAUAAAUAUAAGAUUAAAUAUUUGAGAAAGAUUUGGUUCAACAGAAAGAGAAAGAUUUGGCUCAACAGAUGCAGCCAACAUAUUUUUUUAUCCUUCUUUUUGCUUCGGUACUUCCACAACACAUAUUCUAUAAUUGUUAGUUUGUUUUUCUCUCCUCAGGUCUCAUUCAUCUUCUGUCUAUUUGGCAAUUAAACUUACUGAAGAAGUUGCAAGGGAUAAGCAAAGUUGCUUCUUCUUCAGGAAACAAGUUAGGUUGCAAGAAACACUGACACCAAAGAAGUUGCUUAUUCUAGCUCUUCAGGAAGCUGAGAGAAAUGGAAAUAGCAUAUAUAUUAUCUGCCUUAUCCGUGUGGAGGAUUCAGAGGAUGAGGACCAUACUUCUCAGGUUUCAACUGAAUCACUUUGGUUUACUCCAAAAGAGAGGUAUUAGCUUAUAACUACUAUACACUGUGCUCUUUGGUGUCUGAAGGAAAGAAAUCUUUAAAUAAAUGGUUUCCGUUGCAAUUUAAAAUAGGAUUCAUAUAGUUUUAAGCACACAACACAUAUGCUAAUUUGAAGGUUCAUCGCAAUGGAACUCUAUAAUGUCUGAGAGGUCCUCUAUAGCUCCAUCGUCAGGCUUCCCAAGUUUAAUCUUUCUCCAAGUUUCCAUAUGGCGGAAGGGAUGUAACACUUCUGAAGUCAUUUGAGUUCCAAGACCUAUAAUCAUGUGGUCAGUUUUUACCGUUUCAAGUUUCAACAGUGGUCACUCCACUUUGGGUCAGCUUGCAUUCAAUUACAUGCCAGUUAAGUUCAAGUUUCUUCGUGCAAGAGCAUGCACCCGAACAUCACCUCUCAAUUUAGCUAUAGAGAUUCUGAAAUGGAGUGAGGAUAGAACAAACAUUUGCGUGAUGUAUACUCUAUGUCCAGUACUUAUCAAGUUCUUCUCAAAUCAGUGUAUUCACAUUAAUAACAAGUCUAAUGUAAAUAGUCACCACUAUCUGGAGUAGAGAUUUUUACACAUUGAUCUUAAUUGAUUGAGAUUCAGUUCAGCGCA